rnacentral:lncRNA from 1 species
AACAUUAUAUGUCAUGUACAAAAUAUAUGUAUCAGUUUGUCAUUUCCAUAACUAAGUAAACAACACUGCUAAUAACCUAUGAAACAUGAUAUGGAAAUAUGAUGAUGCUUUGAUAUCAAAAGUCAAAUAGCCAACUACAAAAUAUUGACUACCUACUGUAAAUUUUAACUACAAAACCUAUCUUAUUUCCUAUAAAUUUCUUGUAAAUUUCGAAGUAGUCAAAAUUUAUUGUUAUAAAUACAAAUACAUAAGGGAAAAACACAUUAAAAUAUCAUCAAAAUAUAUAAACUCACUUCUGUAACAUCUUUGGCAAUUCCAUACUUUUUAACCACC